rnacentral:tRNA from 1 species
GUUUUAAUAGUUUAAAAAAAACAUUGAUUUUGUAUAUCAAAAAUAAGAUUUUUCUUUUAAAACU